AUUUACGUCCUUAACGCGCCAUUAAGCUUUCCUGCCUAUUACUAAUACUUGUCCAUCUUCAUGGACUUUGAGUGGCUCCUGUCCACUCUGUUUGACGCCUCCCUGUUAUCUAACUUGAGCCGCCGGCAACGGCGGCUCCUUUUUU
rnacentral:sRNA from 1 species